rnacentral:rRNA from 1 species
GAAAACGAAAACUUAGGUCAUAACUGACAUUUAGGCUCGAAAGCGUGGGGGAGCAAAUAGGAUUAGAUACCCUAGUAGUCCAUGCUGUAAACGUUGGUUGUUAGAUGUUUAUGUUUUUUUACAUAGGUGUCGUAGUUAACACGAUAAACAACCCGCCUGGGUAGUACAUUCGCAAGAAUGAAACUCAAACGGAAUUGACGGGGACCCGUACAAGUGGUGGAGCAUGUUGCUUAAUUCGACAAUACACGUUAAACCUUACCUAGGUUUGACAUCCUUCGCAAAAUCAUAGAGAUAUGAUGGAGGUUAACGAAGUGACAGGUGGUGCAUGGUUGUCGUCAGCUCGUGUCGUGAGAUGUUGGGUUAAGUCCCGCAACGAGCGCAACCCUUAUUAUUAGUUAGUUUAUCUAAUGAGACUGCUAGUGCAAACUAGAGGAAGGUAGGGACGACGUCAAAUCAUCAUGCCCCUUAUGCCUAGGGCUGCAAACGUGCUACAAUGGUUAUUACAAAGUGUUACGAAAUCGUAAGAUCAAGUCAAUCACAAAAAGAUAAUCUCAGUUCGGAUCGAAGGCUGCAAUUCGUCUUCGUGAAGUUGGAAUCACU